UACGGAGGGUGCAAACGUUGCUCGGAAUCAUUGGGCGUAAAGCGCACGUAGGCGGACCGCUAAGUCGGAUGUGAAAGCCCUCGGCUUAACCGAGGAAGUGCAUUCGAAACUGACGGUCUUGAGUAUGGAAGAGGGUCGCGGAAUUCCCGGUGUAGAGGUGAAAUUCGUAGAUAUCGGGAGGAACACCAGUGGCGAAGGCGGCGACCUGGGCCAAUACUGACGCUGAGGAGCGAAAGCCAGGGGAGCAAACGGG
rnacentral:rRNA from 1 species